rnacentral:rRNA from 1 species
GGGUGAGUAACACGUAUGGAACCUGCCCGUAGCAGGGGGAUAAGCGGAAGAAAUUCCGUCUAAUACCGCGUAAUAACUCCGAGGGGCAUCUCUUGGGGUUUAAAGGGUAACACCGGCUACGGAUGGCCAUGCGGCGCAUUAGCUAGUUGGCGGGGUAACGGCCCACCAAGGCGACGAUGCGUAGGGGUUCUGAGAGGAAGGUCCCCCACACUGGUACUGAGACACGGACCAGACUCCUACGGGAGGCAGCAGUGAGGAAUAUUGGUCAAUGGGCGCGAGCCUGAACCAGCCAAGUCGCGUGAGGGAAGACGGUCCUAUGGAUUGUAGACCUCUUUUGUCGGGGAGCAAAAGACGCCACGCGUGGCGUUCCGAGAGUACCCGAAGAAAAAGCAUCGGCUAACUCCGUGCCAGCAGCCGCGGUAAUACGGAGGAUGCGAGCGUUAUCCGGAUUUAUUGGGUUUAAAGGGUGCGCAGGCGGAAGAUCAAGUCGGCGGUAAAAUUGAGAGGCUCAACCUCUUCGAGCCGUUGAAACUGGUUUUCUUGAGUGAGCGAGAAGUAUGCGGAAUGCGUGGUGUAGCGGUGAAAUGCAUAGAUAUCACGCAGAACUCCGAUUGCGAAGGCAGCAUACCGGCGCUCAACUGACGCUCAUGCACGAAAGUGUGGGUAUCGAACAGGAUUAGAUACCCUGGUAGUCCACACAGUAAACGAUG